rnacentral:rRNA from 1 species
UUGUCGUCAGCCCGUGUCGUGAGAUGUUGGGUUAAGUCCCGCAACGAGCGCAACCCGUGAUCUUAGUUGCCAGCAUUCAGUUGGGCACUCUAAGGUGACUGCCGGUGACAAACCGGAGGAAGGUGGGGAUGACGUCAAAUCAUCAUGCCCCUUAUGACCUGGGCUACACACGUGCUACAAUGGAUGGUACAACGGGCUGCGAACCCGCGAGGGGGAGCCAAUCCCAUAAAACCAUUCUCAGUUCGGAUUGUAGGAUGCAACUCGCGUACAUGAAGCUGGAAUCGCUUAGUAAUCGUGGAUCAGCAUGCCAA